GUGAGCUCACCUGCUGUAUUCUGUGGUUGCAGUAAAAACCUGCAGACUCUUGACCCUCCACCUCGAACCCCCUGCUGUUUUGCCCUUUGAGCUCGCCUUAUAAUGGAGUGGAGCGGCCGUUUGGACAGGCACUCGCAGGAGGUGUGGUUGACGAAGGUUACCAUGACAACAGUGCGAUCCAUCCUGGGCGGGGACAGCUCCAUCAACUGACAGGAAGAGAGAUGAAGAUCAGAGUGUGUGGGCCGCCGUGAGAUCACAUGACGUGAGGUCAUCGCUGUGGGACCAUGAGGUCAUGAUGGACGAAUAGCCGGUCGGCAGCGAGAAUUUGGCCAAUCUUCUGGGGUGUGUCAUCACACACACUGCUGGCACACACACACACACACUCAUAUGAACACACCCAUUCAUUUGUCAGUUAGACUGUCUUCCAAUAUAAACAGCAUUUAUAAAGCUAUCUUAAAUACACAGUCAUACAAACCUACACACGCAAG